UCCCUGGUGGCUCAGUGGUAAAGAAUCUGCCUGCCAAAGCAGAAGACGUGGGUUCUAUUCCUGGUCUGGGAA
rnacentral:tRNA from 1 species